rnacentral:rRNA from 1 species
ACUCAAAGGAAUAGACGGGGGCCCGCACAAGCAGCGGAGCGUGUGGUUUAAUUCGAUGUUACACGAAGAACCUUACCUGGGUUUGACAUAUACGUGGUAGAGAACUGAAAAGGGAUCGACCCUUCGGGGAGCGUAUACAGGUGUUGCAUGGCUGUCGUCAGCUCGUGUCGUGAGAUGUCCGGUUAAGUCCGGUAACGAGCGCAACCCCUGCCGUGUGUUACAAGUGUCGCACGGGACUGCCGGUAUCAAGCCGGAGGAAGGUGGGGAUGAUGUCAAGUCAGCAUGACCUUUAUAUCCAGGGCUACACACACGCUACAAUGGCCGGUACAACAGGUUUGCAAGACCGCAAGGUGGAGCCAAUCCUCAAAAUCGGCCUCAGUUCAGAUUGCAGGCUGCAACCCGCCUGCAUGAAGUCGGAGUUGCUAGUAACCGCGCGUCAGCAUUAGUGCGGUGAAUACGUUCCCGGGCCUUGUACACACCGCCCGU